CUACGGGAGGCAGCAGUGGGGAAUAUUGGACAAUGAGCGAAAGCUUGAUCCAGCGACGCCGCGUGUAGGAUGAAGUCCCUCGGGAUGUAAACUACUGUCAGGGACCACCAAGUAAUCAGGGCUAAUAUCCCUGUGCGCUGAGGAAUCCCAGAGGAAGUCACGGCUAACUUCGUGCCAGCAGCCGCGGUAAUACGAAGGUGGCAAGCGUUGUUCGGAAUUACUGGGCUUAAAGAGCAUGUAGGCGGACUGUCAAGCGUCUUGUGAAAUCCCUCGGCUCAACCGAGGAAUUGCAUGGCGAACUGGCAGUCUUGAGGCAGGUAGGGGCAACUAGAACUCUUGGUGGAGCGGUGGAAUGCGUAGAUAUCAAGAGGAAUGCCAGAGGCGAAGGCGAGUUGCUGGGCCUGUCCUGACGCUGAGAUGCGAAAGCCAGGGGAGCGAACGGGAUUAGAUACCCCGGUAGUCCUGGCCCUAAACGAUGUCCACUAGGUUGUAGGCACUCUGACGUGUUUGCAGCCGAAAUGAAAACGUUAAGUGGACCGCCUGGGGAGUACGGUCGCAAGGCUAAAACUCAAAGGAAUUGACGGA
rnacentral:rRNA from 1 species